rnacentral:rRNA from 1 species
AUUGAACGCUGGCGGCAUGCCUUACACAUGCAAGUCGAACGGUAACAGGUCUUCGGAUGCUGACGAGUGGCGAACGGGUGAGUAAUACAUCGGAACGUGCCCGAUCGUGGGGGAUAACGAAGCGAAAGCUUUGCUAAUACCGCAUAAGAUCUACGGAUGAAAGCAGGGGACCGCAAGGCCUUGCGCGAACGGAGCGGCCGAUGGCAGAUUAGGUAGUUGGUGGGAUAAAAGCUUACCAAGCCGACGAUCUGUAGCUGGUCUGAGAGGACGACCAGCCACACUGGGACUGAGACACGGCCCAGACUCCUACGGGAGGCAGCAGUGGGGAAUUUUGGACAAUGGGCGCAAGCCUGAUCCAGCCAUGCCGCGUGCAGGAUGAAGGCCUUCGGGUUGUAAACUGCUUUUGUACGGAACGAAAAGACUUCUUCUAAUACAGGAGGUCCAUGACGGUACCGUAAGAAUAAGCACCGGCUAACUACGUGCCAGCCGCCGCCGUAAAAC